GACAGAGGUUGCAAACGUUGUUCGGAAUUACUGGGCAUAAAGCGCACGUAGGCGGCUACCUAAGUCGGAUGUGAAAGCCCCUGGCUUAACUGGGGAAGUGCACCCGAAACUGGGUAGCUAGAGUGCAAAAGAGGGUCGCGGAAUUCCCGGUGUAGAGGUGAAAUUCGUAGAUAUCGGGAGGAACACCGGUGGCGAAGGCGGCGACCUGGGUUGACACUGACGCUGAGGCGCGAAAGCGUGGGGAGCAAACAGG
rnacentral:rRNA from 1 species